rnacentral:lncRNA from 1 species
GGGACUACAGGCGCCCGCCAUCACGCCCGGCUGCUUUUUUUGUUUUAGUAGAGAGGAGGUUUCACCGUGUUAGCCAGGAUGGUCUCAAUCUCCUGACCUCGUGAUCCGCCCGCCUCGGCCUCUCAAAGUGCUGGGAUUACACGCGUGAGCCACCGCGCCUGGCCUGAAGAAAGUUAAAAGAAAAGCUUUUUGAAUGAAUCACUUCUCAUCUUCUCCGAAGUUGGAAGCAUCAAGAAUCUAAAUAAGCAUUUAUGAUGGCUGGCAUGAAUAUGCGGAAGAUAGAAUGGGAGUCCUAGUUGACCUUCAUAUAAUUUUUAGAAGAUGGAGCACUUCAACUUCUUCCACUCAUGAAAAGAGAGGUGACAGGUGAAGACAGAACAAGAAAACAAACCAAGAAUUUCCCCUCACCAGCCACCAGCUCUGCCAGCAACUUGAUCUUAGACUUCCCAGCCUCCGUAACGCCUCUGCUUAUAAUCUGUCAUGGAUUGGAAAACUAGAAAAAACAGUUUACAGAGUAUAACAAACUUUGGAGGAGUUAAUCGACUCUAAGUAAAAGAGUAUCUAGCACGGCUGUGGAACAAAGGAGAGACUCACAAACUGUUGAAAGAAUAAAUGAAUGAAUGAAUUCUGUUCAUGAGCUUUAAUAAAACAGCUCUGAGUAGUAACAGUGGAUCAAAUUUAGGCUUCUUGAUGCAGGCAUGGUGUAGAUUACUACUUCUGUAUUGUCCCAGGAGCUCAGCACAUUCCUGCAGAGAUGAUAGGAGCUCAUCUGAUACUUGUCAGCUUUGAAUAAACUCCAGUCCCCAAGAGAGAGAAUGAGAAUCACCGGAAUACGAAACUUCCCUGUUGGACUUCCCAACAUUCUUGAAUGCACCAAGAUAGCCUCUUGCUGUGAGAUUAAUAAAUGAAUAAAUGCCUCCAUAUUUUUCAAAUCUGUGAAGUUAACAA